GGGUUGUGAGGUUAAGCGACUAAGCGUACACGGUGGAUGCCCUGGCAGUCAGAGGCGAUGAAGGACGUGCUAAUCUGCGAUAAGCGUCGGUAAGGUGAUAUGAACCGUUAUAACCGGCGAUUUCCGAAUGGGGAAACCCAGUGUGAUUCGUCACACUAUCAUUAACUGAAUCCAUAGGUUAAUGAGGCGAACCGGGGGAACUGAAACAUCUAAGUACCCCGAGGAAAAGAAAUCAACCGAGAUUCCCCCAGUAGCGGCGAGCGAACGGGGAGGAGCCCAGAGCCUGAAUCAGUGUGUGUGUUAGUGGAAGCGUCUGGAAAGGCGCGCGAUACAGGGUGACAGCCCCGUACACAAAAAUGCACAUAUUGUGAGCUCGAUGAGUAGGGCGGGACACGUGGUAUCCUGUCUGAAUAUGGGGGGACCAUCCUCCAAGGCUAAAUACUCCUGACUGACCGAUAGUGAACCAGUACCGUGAGGGAAAGGCGAAAAGAACCCCGGCGAGGGGAGUGAAAAAGAACCUGAAACCGUGUACGUACAAGCAGUGGGAGCACGCUUAGGCGUGUGACUGCGUACCUUUUGUAUAAUGGGUCAGCGACUUAUAUU
rnacentral:rRNA from 1 species